rnacentral:ncRNA from 2 species
AGCUGUUCCCCUCUGGAGGUUCUUAUUACCUUCACAACUACAAGGGCCCAAGUUUUCUUGAGGCCCUCUUUUUUUGCCGUC